rnacentral:rRNA from 1 species
GUCGUAACAAGGUUUCCGUAGGUGACCUGCGGAAGGAUCAUUACCGAGUGAGGGCCCUCUGGGUCCAACCUCCCACCCGUGUCUAUCGUACCUUGUUGCUUCGGCGGGCCCGCCGUUUCGACGGCCGCCGGGGAGGCCUUGCGCCCCCGGGCCCGCGCCCGCCGAAGACCCCAACAUGAACGCUGUUCUGAAAGUAUGCAGUCUGAGUUGAUUAUCGUAAUCAGUUAAAACUUUCAACAACGGAUCUCUUGGUUCCGGCAUCGAUGAAGAACGCAGCGAAAUGCGAUAAGUAAUGUGAAUUGCAGAAUUCAGUGAAUCAUCGAGUCUUUGAACGCACAUUGCGCCCCCUGGUAUUCCGGGGGGCAUGCCUGUCCGAGCGUCAUUGCUGCCCUCAAGCACGGCUUGUGUGUUGGGCCCCCGUCCCCCUCUCCCGGGGGACGGGCCCGAAAGGCAGCGGCGGCACCGCGUCCGGUCCUCGAGCGUAUGGGGCUUUGUCACCUGCUCUGUAGGCCCGGCCGGCGCCAGCCGACACCCAACUUUAUUUUUCUAAGGUUGACCUCGGAUCAGGUAGGGAUACCCGCUGAACUUAAGCAUAUCAAUAAGCGGAGGAAAAGAAACCAACAGGGAUUGCCUCAGUAACGGCGAGUGAAGCGGCAAGAGCUCAAAUUUGAAAGCUGGCCCCUUCGGGGUCCGCGUUGUAAUUUGCAGAGGAUGCUUCGGGUGCAGCCCCCGUCUAAGUGCCCUGGAACGGGCCGUCAUAGAGGGUGAGAUAGUU